UACGGAGGGUGCAAGCGUUAUCCGGAUUUACUGGGUUUAAAGGGUGCGCAGGCGGAUAUGUAAGUCAGUGGUGAAAUCUCUAGGCUUAACCUGGAAAUUGCCGUUGAUACUAUAUAUCUUGAAUGUUGUGGAGGUAAGCAGAAUAUGUCAUGUAGCGGUGAAAUGCUUAGAUAUGACAUAGAAUACCUAUUGCGAAGGCAGCUUACUACGCAGAUAUUGACGCUCAUGCACGAAAGCGUGGGGAUCAAA
rnacentral:rRNA from 1 species